GCCACCUUGGCGCGUCCCUCUCCCCCACGACCCUGGGCCUCCUGCAGCCCAGAUCUGGGACCUCAGAGCUCGGGGACUUGCAUCCUCCCGCUUCCAGCCCUGCAGAGAGGAGCGGAGCCACGAUGGAACAAGGCAUCGCGUCCUCCUCCGCCCCCGGCAUCCCCAUCCCGCAGUGCCUCCAACCCGCAGCCCAGCCGGGGCUCCCUCCGCCCAGCCGCCCACCCCAACACGCCAUCACGGACUCACCUGACAGCCCCGCUGCCUCUCACACACUCCUGCCCUCGCUGAGGGGGGCACGACAUGUCCCGCGGCGGCCUUUCCCCCGAGCGCAGGCGGGGCGGGGCGCAGCAGGGCGGAGCCUGCGGCCCCUCCGGGCUCGUGCCCAACACUGGGCUCCACUGCGCUCCCAGCGGGCGAGCAGCGGGUCCGCCUACUGAGAGCAAAGGUGAGGUAGCGAGGACCGCGGCGUGGAAGCGAUGGGUGGGGCAAGGAGGGCCGCAGGAGACUGGCGGGAAGUGUCGCGAGAGGUGGGAGGAAUCGCGCGAGAUGUGGCUCCUUCCUGCGGGCAGGGAGCCGAAGCGCUGGGCGUGCGGGCGGUGCGUGGGGCGUGCCCUCCGCUCUGAGCCGGCGUGCGGAAUCUCCGUCUGAGGUUGGAGGUCUUUGAAAGGGCCAGGAAAGAUGCGGAGAACCCGAGGGAGACGCAGAUGCCACGCCGCUAGUGAGCAAUUGGACGAUACGGCGCUAGCUAGCAGCAGCUUCCACUUCUGGGUGUGGAGGAAAAUGGAUACUAUUGGCACUUGCAAAGAAGAAAGUUUAUCUCGGGCGCCUGGGUGGCUCAGUUGGUUAAGUGACUGCCUUCGGCUCAGGUCAUGAUCCUGGAGUCUCGGGAUCGAGUCCCACAUCGGACUACCUGCUCAACGGGGAGUCUGCUUCUCCCUCU